AUCUGUGGGGGGGGGAGAGGGCGGGGCCCGGGUCAGCGGGCGGCCCCGACGCGCCCCCCCCCCCCUAUGCCCAGGCCUCUGCCAUACCGUGUACACGCUGGCCACCUUCUCCACGGGAGUCUCCCCAUACAUCACCACCGCCUUCAGGUGGGGCAGGUUUUCCCAGAUCUGUGUGACGGAGACAGGGAGCUCCACUGAGAACAGAAAGGCCACCUCCUGGGACGAGCCCGUUGCUGGGGGCCGUCUGCGGGCGGAGGCUUUGUGGGAAUGGUCACUGGGCUCCCCAGUCAGCCUCUGGCCCAGCAGGACCCGGCCUCCCGGCUGCUUUCCCGUCGGAAGGCCGUGGGCGAGUGGGGCAGGCGGGGUGGGGAGGACUCUCCUGGGAGGACCGUGUGCCCGCACAGCGAGGCGGAGAGGGAGCCGGAGAGAAACACAGCACAGGUGGCUCACGGACUUGGGUGAUGGAACCAAGCGGGGAAAGCCGGGUGCACAGGAGACAACAGGGACGCAGGUGGCAGCAUGUAACCCCGUCAGCCUUCCUGACAUUAACAUGGCGCACAUUCCAGCCCACAGCGCCCACAGCGCCCACAGCGCCCACAGCGCCCACAGCGGCAGAACGCCUUCUUUCAGACACGCACGGGCUGUUCCCCGGGGCACAGCCUGGCCUCCCAGACCCUCGGCACUGCGGGUCCCAGACCACCGCGGCCAAGCCAGCCGCCAUCUUUGUGCUGUGGAGGGUCUCGCCUUCAACGUGUAAAAAACACAACCGUGGCUGUCCCGCGUGGCUCAGUGACUGAGCACCGACCUAUGACCCAGGAGUAAAAACAUCUUAAAAAAACAAAAACACCACCUGGGUGAGGCUCGAUCAGACAGACAAUUCCCGAACACCACGCUGCUGGCAGCCACACCCACCGGCUCUGCACCCAGGCUGCUUCAGGGGGCACAGGGCCCCGUGAGGACAGACAAGAAGGCGAAGGAGAAGAGUCCUGAAGGAGGACUUCACGCCGUUGCUCACGAAAUGAUUAAUUCGGGCAAAGGUCGUGAGCGGAGUCAGGUUGACCCGGACGUCGAGUGGCCACCUGGACGCCCAGGGAAUUGCAGCCUCUGCACAGCGUCUCACCUGCCCUCACCCGCCCGGCGAGGUGGUGCAAGGUGAGGUUAACAGCACCACCUACAGGGAGCUCCGGCCCACAAGGUACGUCCUGAAAUGCAGGGCCCACGUGAUCUCGCGGGAACAGAGCACUGAGGUGUGGGAGGCGGGUGACCGGAUCCUGCAGGCUCUCACCCAUGAGCCCGAUCAGCGUCACCGGGGGCGUGCGGAGCCGAACGUGGCCUGGGGGGCCCACACCCUGAGUUUCUGAGGCUGUGGGUCUGGGAUGCGGCCCGAGGACCCACAUUUAUUUUUAUUUUUAUUGAUUUCAGAGAGGAAGGAGAGGGAGGGAGAGAGAGAAACAUCCAUGAUGAGAGAGAAUCACAGAUCGGCGGCCUCCUGCACGCCCCCUACUGGGGAUCAAGCCCACAACCCGGGCCUGUGCCCUGACGGGGAAUCGAACCGGGGGCCCUUCAGUCCGAAGGCCGGCGCUCUACCCAUCAAGCCACACUGGCCAGGGCAAGGGACCCAGAUUUCUAACCAGCGCCCAGGCAAACCAAGGCUGCUGGCCGGGGCCGCACGGGUCUGUGGCUUGAGGGGCAGAGGUGGGGCUUUGACUUGAACUCAGACACUGAGGGACACCGGGGUGGGUUUAGUCCUGAUUCCCACGCCGACUGUGAGAGACACCGGGUGUCACACGUGGACAAGCUAUUCUACUUGUGUUGGACGGGACACAGUUACUGUGAUUAUUCAAGAAAAGUGUCCCUUUUCGAGACGCAUGCUGGAAUUUUCAGGGACGGAAAGGGCGCCGUCAGAGAUCUGCCUGCAAAUAUUUCGGCACGAAGAGUGCGCCGGUGAUGUCCCGCGCACUGGCUGUUCACCGGGCGAUCGGCACCCCCGAGCCCACCGUCCGCCUCCGUGUUCCUCCGGAAACUUCCGUAACAACUUUAAUCCGGGUGAUUACUAGGCGCGACAUUUCCUAAUUCUGGCCCUCGGCUUCCGUUGCCAAUGGGCCUGGGAGGGGGUACGUGGAUUAGAUCUACAUCCGCGAGGGGUGUUGUCUCCCCGAGGGAAGGAACAAACCUCCGGGGGGCCUGAAGCUCUUAUAGGGCCCGCCCCGGGAUCGGAGGGGAGCUCGUGAGGAAGCCACCCCCACCCUCAGGAAGCCAGGCCCCAUGAGCUCGCGGUGCCUGGUGGGUCAGGCACCUGCCACCACCCUCUGACUCAGUCCCUCAUCCGUGUUGUGAGGGGCCUGGGGCUUCGGGGGAGGGGGGCUCCCAGCACAGUUCAUUCUGGGCCGCAUCGUCCACACCCCAGUCUCCUCGCCCAAUCCCCAGCACUGAUCCAAGCCAGACCGACCGACACACAGAACAGAAGGUCCUGAAACGCAGGGUCCCCAGGGGCAGUGAGGGGCCAGGCCCCCAAACAGGAAGGCAGCCCUCUCUCGGGGUCAGGGAGCCCAUCUGAUCAAAACCAAACCCCAGGUCCCUGUGCCUGGGAGAGAGGGUCUCAGCUCAUCGCCACACGCUCCGAGGGGGAGCACCACAGAGCCCUGAGGGCGGGAGCUGGCGCCUCGCACACGGCGUGGGGCGCGUGGACAGGGCCCAUCAGGGCGGCCUGACACCAAUGAGGAGGCAGCACCCCUCCAGGAGGGACCCGCUGGCUCAGGAGGCGCUCCUAGCUCCUGCUGUGUCCUCGUCUGCAGAAGCCCCGACACAGCCUCCCUGAGGCCCCCUCGCCCUGUCCCUGGGAGUGAGACUCCGGGGCCCAGGGUGUCAGGGCCCUGUGCCACCCACGGGGCACACGACCCUUCCCUGGGCCCGGAACCCCAGCCCGCGGGGCCUGGCCCUGAGGUCACAGAGGCGGCUGGCUGAGAGCACGCUUCCUGGGUGACGUGGGGCAUGUCCCUUGGACUUUCUGGCCUCAGUAUUCUCAUCUGGCAAAUGGGUCUGAGUCCAUGGGGGUGACUGAGGAUGAAGGGGACUCUGCCAGGGGGGUGGGAAGUUCUCUGAAAGCUAGACGGCCCUGAGGACCCCAGUCUCAACCCCCACACCCCCAUUACCCCCAAACCUUCAAGAUCUUCUCCAGCUGCUUCUGUGCGUCAACCACGAUGAUGUUGGCGCGGCAGUCGCGGGCGAUGUACUGGCAGGCCUCGGGGGAGCUGGUGGUGUAGAUGCCGGUGACGAUGCCUCUGCAGGGGACCAGAGGCUGUGUCCACGCAGGCCCGGCAGCCCCCCUCUGCCCAGCCCCAGCCCCAGCCCCACGGAGCUCCAUGGCCAGGCAGCCAGGGCUCCCACGGACGCUCCCACAGCUGCCCAGGCAGAGGGGCCCGGGGAGAGGUGGGGUGUUGGGGAGGGGUGGGGACCUUUAAAAAGAAAUAACCGCCUUCUCGUCCCUCCCUGCCCAGCUCCCGCCCCGGGGCUCGGCCCCACCCGCCGCUCACCCUGCAAACACGGUGCCCACGGCCGAGAAGAACCACUCCGGGGAGUUGAAGCCGAGGAUGGCCACACUGUGCGCACGCUCCAGGCCGAGCUGCAGGCGGGACAGACAGCCAGGUCAGCCGACGGGCAAGGGCCUCCCGGGGCCGUCAAGACCCCUCCGAGGCCUCAGAGCCCAGGCCACCCGCCCGAGCAGGCCUGGGGCCCGCCCCCCAGCCCCCUGCUGCCCCUCAGCCCAGCACCCGCCUCUCAGCCCUUGGUUUGAAUGUGCCCACACGUGCAAAGCCCCUAUCAGGUGCCUGCACCGUGAGGGCUCCGUGCACGGGACACCCGGUGUGGGCCCAGGUGUCGGUCAUCGGGGAGAGGCCCGUCGGCCCAGCGCGGGUGGGAGCCCUGGGAGGGAGGUCUCCCUCGGGGCCUCACCUUCAGGAAGCCCUUGGCAGCCUGGCGGGCCUGCAGGUAGUACUGGGCGUAGGUGAUGCGCUCCCAGGAGCCCUGGCGCUUGAAGCCGAGCGCGUGGAGGUGCCCGUACUGCUCCAGGGCCCGGCAGAACAUCUGGUGCACAGUGCAGGCGCGCUGCUGCGGGCAGCUGGGGUCCAGGCGCAGGCGGACCCGGCCGUCGGCCCGCGUCGUCCACAGCGCCUCCUCUGCGGGGUGGGGGCAGAGCACAGCUGGGGUCCCCUGGCCCCGGGCCGUCCCCAGCCACCCCGGCCCCCCACUGGGCAGAGCUGCCUGCCCUCUGGUCCCAACAACGCCUUGGGCACUGGCCCUGGGGCUGGAGGCAAGCCAGGGGCUGCCUGGAGGAGGAGGCUGACAGCCGUGGAGGACAGCACGGAGGAGAGGGAGCAGCGGGGGGAGGUGGCCUUGACCAGCCCACCAGCUACGAAGCCUGUUCUCAGCAAACGUCUCUCACUUUCACACGGACCAUUUUUU